rnacentral:tRNA from 1 species
UGGGGCGUAGCCAAGUGGUAAGGCAACGGUUUUUGGUAUCGUCAUCGGUGGUUCGAAUCCAUCCGCCCCAGCCA